UACGGAGGAUCCAAGCGUUAUCCGGAAUUACUGGGCGUAAAGAGUUGCGUAGGUGGCACUGUAAUCAGGUAGUGAAAGCCUGGGGCUCAACCCCUUACACAUUAUCUGAACUGCAGAGCUAGAGGACAAGAGAGGUACCUGGAAUUCCUAGUGUAGGAGUGAAAUCCGUAGAUAUUAGGAGGAACACCGAUGGCGUAGGCAGGGUACUGGCUUGUUCCUGACACUAAGGCACGAAAGCGUGGGGAGCGAACGGG
rnacentral:rRNA from 1 species